rnacentral:rRNA from 1 species
GAGAAGCUUGCUUCUCUUGAGAGCGGCGGACGGGUGAGUAAUGCCUAGGAAUCUGCCUGGUAGUGGGGGAUAACGCUCGGAAACGGACGCUAAUACCGCAUACGUCCUACGGGAGAAAGCAGGGGACCUUCGGGCCUUGCGCUAUCAGAUGAGCCUAGGUCGGAUUAGCUAGUUGGUGGGGUAAUGGCUCACCAAGGCGACGAUCCGUAACUGGUCUGAGAGGAUGAUCAGUCACACUGGAACUGAGACACGGUCCAGACUCCUACGGGAGGCAGCAGUGGGGAAUAUUGGACAAUGGGCGAAAGCCUGAUCCAGCCAUGCCGCGUGUGUGAAGAAGGUCUUCGGAUUGUAAAGCACUUUAAGUUGGGAGGAAGGGCAGUAACCUAAUACGUUGCUGUCUUGACGUUACCGACAGAAUAAGCACCGGCUAACUCUGUGCCAGCAGCCGCGGUAAUACAGAGGGUGCAAGCGUUAAUCGGAAUUACUGGGCGUAAAGCGCGCGUAGGUGGUUUGUUAAGUUGGAUGUGAAAUCCCCGGGCUCAACCUGGGAACUGCAUUCAAAACUGACAAGCUAGAGUAUGGUAGAGGGUGGUGGAAUUUCCUGUGUAGCGGUGAAAUGCGUAGAUAUAGGAAGGAACACCAGUGGCGAAGGCGACCACCUGGACUGAUACUGACACUGAGGUGCGAAAGCGUGGGGAGCAAACAGGAUUAGAUACCCUGGUAGUCCACGCCGUAAACGAUGUCAACUAGCGCGUUGGGAGCCUUGAGCUCUUAGUGGGGCAGCUAACGCAUUAAGUGAACGACGGCAUGCGCGAUGAAACA